UACGUAGGGGGCAAGCGUUGUCCGGAUUUAUUGGGCGUAAAGAGCGUGUAGGCGGCUUGGUAGGUCCGCUGUGAAAACUCGAGGCUCAACCUCGAGAUGUCGGCGGAAACCACUUGGCUAGAGUCCGGAAGAGGAGAGUGGAAUUCCUGGUGUAGCGGUGAAAUGCGCAGAUAUCAGGAAGAACACCUAUGGCGAAGGCAGCUCUCUGGGACGGUACUGACGCUGAGACGCGAAAGCGUGGGGAGUGAACAGG
rnacentral:rRNA from 1 species